UACGUAGGGCGCAAGCGUUGUCCGGAAUUAUUGGGCGUAAAGAGCUCGUAGGCGGCUUGUCACGUCGAUUGUGAAAGCCCGAGGCUUAACCUCGGGUCUGCAGUCGAUACGGGCUAGCUAGAGUGUGGUAGGGGAGAUCGGAAUUCCUGGUGUAGCGGUGAAAUGCGCAGAUAUCAGGAGGAACACCGGUGGCGAAGGCGGAUCUCUGGGCCGUAACUGACGCUGAGGAGCGAAAGCGUGGGGAGCAAACGGG
rnacentral:rRNA from 1 species